AGUUAAUAAGCUAAAAAGCAUAUAUUUUGAAAAUAUAAUUUAGAAAUUAAAAAUUUUCUAUUAACUUAUUAUAUAUAAACUAAUAAUUUACU
rnacentral:tRNA from 1 species